UGGGAAACUUCUAGUGGGUAUUUAAACCCCGCAAAAUUCGCUAACCGACGUUCUUGAGCUGCUUGCUCGAGCCCACUCCCACCUUGUGGAGCGUACUUUCAUUUACAAUAAAUCUCUGCUUUUUCUGUUUUGCUUUGUUUGUGCGUUUUGUGCAAUUCUUUGUUCAAAAUGCCAAGAACCUGGACAACUACCCUCAACCAGUAACACUAGGUGGGAAGGAGGUAAGCAAGUCAGGCACAGAGAGAAUGCUAUCAUGGCUCUAGCUGAGUGAGCAGAGGGGAGACUGAUAGAACACGACAGAGAAGCAGGCAGGUGCAGAGCCUGGAAGGCCUUGAAGCUGAAGACGGGGAGUUCAGAUUGUAUUCCAGGGUAGAAAAAAAAAAAAACAAUCACUGGAGAGUGAAGGGAUCUGAUUGGCUGUGGCAGCUGUGAGGAAGAGGGCCCCUAGAGGAACAGCGAUGGAAGCAGAAAGGUCAGUGAGGAGGCUGGUGUAAUAAUAGUCCAGCAUGAUUUCCGAAGGACCUUCUAAUGGAGUGCCUCCUUUAACCGGCAUGCCUCCCCUACCAGACCUGACUCCAUGAAGCAAACACUGACCUUGGCAUCAAGGCGACCUGACCCGAGCUCAGCUCCAUCACUGAAGAAACUCCUCCCCUCUUGAAGUUUCAGUUGUCAUCUGUAAAAUGGGAGUAAGAAUAGUGCCUACCCAUAGGGCUGUUGGAAUGAUAAAUAUGAAAAAAUGCAUAACCAAUAAAUAAUAUAGAACAUAUGCUCAGGAAAUAUUAGCCAUCAUUAUUUGCUGCUAUUGUUGCUUGUAUCAUUGUCUCUCCCAGGGAAGAUUCUAAGUUCUGCAAGGACAGAACCUAUGUGUAAUUCAUUUUUGUAACCCCAGGAUGCCAAGCACAACACCUGUCACAGAAAUUCAGCAGUUUUGGGCUGGGCGUGUGGGUACACGCCUAUAAUCCCAGAACUUUGAGAGGCUGAGGCAGGUGGAUCACUUGAGGUCAGGAAUUCGAGAUAACCCUGGCCAACAUGGCAAAACCCCAUCUACUAAAAAUACAAAAAUUAGCUGGGUGUGGUGGCACAUGCCUAUAAUCCCAGCUACUUGGGAGGAUGAGGCAGAAUUGUUUGAACUGGGGAGACGGAAGUUGCAGUGAGCUGAGAUCGCGCCACUGCACUCCAGCCUGGGCAACAGAGUGAGACCCUGUCUCAAAAAAAAAAAAAAAAAAG
rnacentral:lncRNA from 1 species